AGGCGAUGCUCUCUGAUUAUACAAAGAAAUUCUUUAUUUACUUUUCGUGCUUUUCGUUAAGAUCAGAAUUUCUCGCGUGGGGAUAAAGUCGUGGCAUUUGUUCAGUGUUUUAUGAGCACGGAUAUCGAUACAGAGGAAAAGAAAAGAAAGACGAACUUGCGCAAUUUCCACAAGUCCACUUUAUUUUCGACGAGGGAUGUCUGACAGUAUGGAGCGAGAGAAAAGUGAAAGGUUAACCGCGAGGGAAAUCGAGGAAGAGGAAAUGAAACGUGAACUUACAGGUAUUGGGAUAUACGAGCCAGGAUUUACGUAUACAGAAAUGAAAAGACUACUCGAAUUUGUUAAUGAGUCUCAAGAUACAUCGAACGUUGCUUCCAAUAAUAAAAAUAUGCAGGAGCCAAUACAACAUUUCGAUAAUGAGUGCCUAUCAGAUGUUACAUCUGACAUAAACGUGCAGCAAGAAGUGACUUUGCAGAAGUGUACAGAAAUGCCAAAACCAUCAUACUCGUACAAAUUGAAUCAUACGUCUCCGACAAUGCACGAACGUAGAGCCGUUCAUUAUAUCAACAGUCCGGAAUCUUCGCCCCUUUUUGAAGUACGAAGCCCUAUUUACAAGAGCUCUGACAAUGAUGAGCUAUUCGAGAAACAGUGCGAUAACUCCAAUUCCAUGCACACUACAAAUCGAUAUCUCUCGUUGAGAUUGGAAAAUGUUUCGCGGGGAUGCCAGAAUGCGAUGGAGAAAAGAACGGCGCAGGAUGCGCAAAGUGAAAUCAUUCAAAAGUUGGAAAGAUGGCGAUUGAAUCCGCUCGAUGUCUGCAUCAACGAAAACGACGUGCCUUUGCGACAGCCAAAUAGAUCUUUAGCUCGAGAGCGUAUGCCGUUUGAGCAUUGUAAAGAAGCGCACAUGUCCGAUCAGUGUAACCAAGUAAUACGGUCCGUGAACCAGCAUUUGAAGGAAAUGGCAAACUUGUGGUACAGUUGGCGCCCCAUUAUCAAUCCGAUAUUUCAAUGGGGGUCACCCAUUCAGGUCAGCACCACUAACAGUAGUUUGGAUAAAAAACCAUUAACAAAUCCUAAAACUGAACAGAUCAAAGCAGAAUAUACACACCGAGACGGUUAUGAGCGAGCUAGUAAACGUAAAGCGAAUACUCUCAUCGCUACUCUGAAUAGAGACAGUUCCUCUGAAAACGAAGACGACAAUCAAUACGACUUUACUCGUAAUAAAAAAAAGAGAAUUCAAUCGAAUGAUAAAUUGAAUAAUGUAGAAUAUGUUGAGAAUCAGCAUGCGCAUACUAGUUAUAAGAAAGAAAACGUGAUUGCAGAUAAUUCUUUCAGCGAUGAUAAAAGCAAUACAAAUAUUGACAAUGAGUAUGUUAAACAUUCACGCUCGCCAGAAUUAACCGCGUAUCCUAGAAGAAUAAGACCUCCCAAUCCUCAAACGCGUUUAAAUCUGACUAGAAAAAGAAAGGAAAACGCUACAUCGAAACUAUUUCCAAAAACGCGAUGCGAGAGUAAAGAUGAGAGUAAAGAUGUUGAACAGGCAAAAAAUCAAAAGAAAGAUAAUACAAUGACAGAAGAAGAAAUUCGCCGCCAACUAGAAGAAGACUGGAGUAAUGACGAGGAAAAGGUGUGUACGGGGGAAAAGGAUGUGAAGCUUCGGCCACUGCCGAUAUUGAAAGAAGUACGAUAUAGAUUACGAGAUAAACGAUUAUCAUUAAACAAAAAAGCGAAAGAGGCACGGGCAACGGCGAAGGAGGAGAAAAGCGAUGAGGAGCAAAAUAAGAUAAAAAGAUUGAAGCUUUGCGAACGACGAAAGAUAGAAGAAUUAUACAGGCUAGAUAAUAGAAAUGGAAGUUGGGAGCAUGAACUAUUGUCCGAUGAGGACAAAUCAUCUGAGAUGAAUCAACAGUUUGAUUUUCAGAAUGGUAAUCGAUCUGAUAAUGUAUCUACUUCGACAAACAAUGUAAAUUGUCCUAUAUGCAAUAAACGGUUUCCACAUAACGAGAUAGAGAAUCAUGCCGCCGAUUGCGAACAAUUCGAGACUAAUAACGAAGAGGAUGAUAAAGACAGGAUUAUAUUAGAAUGUAAUAUAUGCAGCAAUUACAAGACGAACAAUGGAAAAGAAUAUGAAGAACAUGUUUAUCAGUGUAUAAAUAUUAAGAAUAAUCAAAGACAUUCACAUGGUUCUGAAGACAUCAAUAUCACCUCUACCUCAUCGAUCAAAACCAAUCAGUAAACAGAAAGAUUCCGAAUUAGAUUAUUUGGAUGAGUUUUCAUCUAAGAGUAAAAAGAACAUAUAUGGCAAUAAACCGGCAAUAAAUAAUUUUUACAUUGUGAGAUUUAUUUUACAAUGUACGUGCAAUAUACGAACAAAUGAUUGAUGAGUGGACAUUGCUUUCGUAAAUUCCAGGAUGUUUAUCAAAAGACUUUACACAUAUUUUAUGCGAUAUUUGCGAUGAGCGAGAUGAAUAAAUUUACAUACAUACAAACAGAUCUCUUCCAAGUAACUAUGGGUGCGUUCCGAGUUACGCAUGAAGCGCGUGGACUGCAAUACUGAUGCACAACGCUUUGAAAUCGUUCCAUUUUUUCAAUGCGCGCAUAACACGCAUGAAGCGCUUAUGAAUUCGGACCGGUUUCCUGUGCGAGCUGUGCGCUGAGUGGACUGUAGUGGGCUGAGUGAUAAUGUUAAAAAUGGAUAUCGAACGAAACGUCAAGAAACGAUUUACAGUAUCAAUGGUCACUUCAUUGAUAUUUUUAAACAAAAACAUCGAAAGUGACAGCUCGCAAUCGAGCGAGGAAUGUUUCCGGCAACAUUUGAAAUGAUUUUAUCAUUAAUCGGACCAACGCUAAAUAAGACAAAUACCAUAACUGGAAGAAAACCAAUUUCAGCAGAAAAAAAACUGUAUAUUGCUCUAUGGUUUAUGGCUACUCCUGAUUCGUAUAGAUCCGUUUGCGUCAAAUUUGGAGUGGGCAAAAAAACGGCUUUUAGAAUCGUAAGACGUGUAACCUAUGCAUUGCAUUGCAUCGCGCCUUGAUUCAUUCAGUGGUCUGAUGAAGCUGUUGCUACUAACAUCAGCGAUCAAUUUUUAGAAGCUAGUGGCUUUCCAAAUGUAAUCGGUGAUAUAGAUGGAACUCAUAUCAAGAUCUGAGCUCCACACCAACAGAUUCAGUUUCAUACAUAAACCGGAAAGGUUUCCCAUCUAUCAAUCUUCAAGUAGUUUGUAAUUCGAGGGGUCUCUUCAUACACUGCUAUGCAGGUCAAGUGGGAUCAGUACAUGAUGCUUGGGUUUUCAGAAACUCUUCAGUGACACAUUUUCUUGAGAGACCUGAGGUGUACUUCCCUAACAACUCUCAUAUUAUAGGAGAUGCAGCAUAUCCGAUUUAUCCCCACGUAAUGGUUCCAUUUCGAGACAAUGGACAUUUGACAAGUCAACAAAAAAAUUUUAAUUAUUGUCUAUCUUCAACAAGAAUGGCAGUUGAACGGGCGAUUGGCCUAUUGAAGAUACGUUUUAAAAUAUUAUUAGACUGUUUACUACGGACAGACGUUAAAAAGAUUCCAGAGUUCAUUAUAGCGUGUAGUGUCUUACGCAAUAUUUGUUUAUUACAAAAUGAUAUUAUGACUGUCGGUGUCCAACAUUAUGAAGAAUAUCAGGCCCAAAUUCGCGAUAAUAACACUGAUUUAGGAAAUGAAAUAUUUCCAAAAGAAUAAUAAUAAUGAAUGCUU